GAAAGGUGGCAUUUUGGGGGAGAAAAUGUCAAAUUUUGGGGAGAAAAUGUCAUAUUUUGGGGAGAAGAGUCAAAUUUGGGGGAGAAAGGUGGCAUUUUGGGGGAGAAAAAGUCAUAAUUUGGGGAGAAAAGUCGUAAUUUUGGGAAGAAGAGUCAAAUUUGGGGGAGAAAGGUCAAAUUUGGCAAGAAAAUGUCACAUUUUGGGGAGAGAAAAUGUCAUAUUUUGGGGAGAAAAGUGGCAUUUUGGGAAGAAGAGUAAAAUUUUGGGGAGAAAGGUGGCAUUUGGGGAGAGAAACCGUCAUAUUUUGGGGAGAAGAGUCAUAUUUUGGGGAGAAAGGUGGCAUUUUGGGGGAGAAAACCUCAUAUUUUGGGGAGAAAACGUCCUAUUUUGGGGAGAAGAGUCAUAUUUUGGGGAGAAAGGUGGCAUUUUGGGGGAGAAAACCUCAUAUUUUGGGGAGAAAAGUGGCGUUUUGAGGCAGGAAGAAGUAAAAAAUCAUUUUUUGGGGAUAGCAAAGCCCCAUUUGGGCCAGCAGAGCCCUUUUUUUUUGGGGUAAGAAACGGCGUUUUGGGGUUCAGGCGUCGGCGCUGCUCAUCAGCAUCUCUUUGUCGACGCUGCGACUCCGGCGACCCCAAAACUGGGUGACACCACAGUGGGUGACAACCAGGACAGCCAGCACCAACGUCACCACCAGCAGCAGCGCCAGCAGCA
rnacentral:lncRNA from 1 species